rnacentral:lncRNA from 1 species
CUUGCAUUUCUCUAUAACGGCUUAGAUACAGUGUGGUUUCUUUGUGAUGGUGUCUAAAACUUUCCAUAUUAUUCUACUUGCUGUAGGUAUUUUCACUGAACUCGCACAGUAGAUGCAAGUUAAAGAUGUGCAGGUACAUUGAGAUUCCCAGCGUGUUAUGGCUUUUUGAUUGGGUUGUCUUUUUGCUUUUUCUCUUGGUGGUGAGAGGUGGUGGGGUGGUUUAUAAGUAUAUGAAUUGGGGUUUCCCCAUUUCCAGUUUUUCGAAUUUUAGAUAUAUAACUUUUGAUAUAAAUUACAGCCAGGUGAAAUUUGUACUCAUUAUAUGCUUGCAGUAAAAUUGGUAUCUAACAAAGUGGUAAUUGUAUGAUUUUCCAAAUUUGAUAAACAACUAGCAAUUUGGAAAUUUGGAAAUUAUAAAUAUUUCUAAUCUAUACCUUUCCUAUAUUUGAUCAUUAUGAAGCAAGAAUAUUGACAGAAAAAUUAGUAAUAGAAAAAUAAGAAUGGUGAGCUCUCUUUUCUUUCGUCGCAGUUUAAAUUACAAAAAUGCUUCAUUAUAAAGUAAUCUCAGUAGCAUCAAUGAAGAAUGGUGAAAUUCAUUGAUUAAGUAUUCUAAGAAGAGUUGUCUUAGCAUAUCACAUUGUUUACUGGUAGCAAAUCACAAUCACAUUGUUAAUUCAAAAAUUCAAAUUAUAGCAAUUUUCAUGCUUAGAUAACAUUUGGACAUAAUUAUCAUUGAGUAUUUUUAGGCAUGUUUAGCUUGAUACUGGUAAGUGUUGUCUUCAUGAUUUGAAAUUUAUAUGACCAAUCAUCAAUCAACUUCGAAAGAAAAAUGAAGGCUUCCAUUAUAAAAUAAUUCUAAAUUUUUUGAACCCAAUUUAUAUGUGUUGUUUGAAAUUUUUUUGUUUAAUUACGUCAGUUCUUUUUUUAGAGUAAUUAAACGAAUAACCUAGAAAAAUAACUACCCUUAAUUUUUAAAAUAGAUAUUAUUUAAAUGAUCGAAUAUAAUUUGUUGCAAUUUUAUUGAAUUUUCAUAAAUUAUCAUUUUUUUUAAAAAUAAUUUCGUGAGAUUUCUUUAUAUUCACAUGUAAAUACCUUGGAAAAUAUAAAUUAAUUAUUUUGAAUGCUAAGGAGAAGUUGGAUUUGCACUCUCUCUCUCUCUCUCUUAUACGAGAAGAGGGUUAGGCAAUUUAUAGGAUGAGCAUAGAGAAAAAGAUGAAAGAAUUCUACAUAGAGGUGGCUAGAGGAUUUUGGUGCCUAUUGUUACACCUGGGAAUAAUUUUUGAACCAGUCUAAGCAUAGUUUGGCAUGUUGAUAGUUGAGUUAAGUAAGAUGCGUAGACCAAUUUUUGAUGUUCUUAAUUUAUGCUAUAUUAGUUCAAUGAGAACUUCUCAAAUCUUGGCAGUUUAAUGAACUUAGAGAUAUUAUUUCUUAGAAUUCUCCAAUUAGAUGGCAUGCCUAUACUCCGAUAAACUGCCCAAAUAAAUUAUGGGAUUUUGCUAGAAAUAAUCCUUUAGGUUGGCUACGAGUAACUUGCUUCUUGUCUCCUCUACUAUUAAUAAGUUUCCUAAGAUUUCUACACUCUGUUCCUCUGCUAAUAAAUAGCUUCAUCUUUCCUCUAUCUUUUAUGCUUACAUAUUUUUAUUAGUUCAUUUAUUUAUCUGAAGUUCUGACCAAUUGUAAAGAUUGUGGUGCAAAAAAAUUAUUUAAAACAUUUUUAAUUAUUUUUAUUUUUAUUUUUAAAGAUUGUAUUGCAUAUGGAUUUUUUAAUUAUGAUGAUAUUUUAUCCAUUUUAUCUAGGC